UCGACGUCCUGGUCCUGCGUCAGCUUCUCCAGCACCGGCUUCACCUCGGUCUGCAGCGUCCUGCAGGGGACACAGGUGAGACACAGGUGAGACAGGUGAGACAUGAACAGGUGAGACAGGGACAGGUGAGGCACA